UACGUAGGGGGCUAGCGUUGUCCGGAAUCAUUGGGCGUAAAGAGCGCGUAGGCGGCUGGAAUAGUCCGGUGUGAAAUCCACAGGCUUAACCUGUGAAUGCCGCUGGAAACUGUCUGGCUAGAGUCCGGAAGGGGCGAGUGGAAUUCCUGGUGUAGCGGUGAAAUGCGCAGAUAUCGGGAGGAACACCAGUGGCGAAGGCGGCACUCUGGGCCAGUACUGACGCUGAGGCGCGAAAGCCAGGGGAGCAAACGGG
rnacentral:rRNA from 1 species